GAAGAUGACCCAAUGGAUGAGGUUCUAGUGUUAAAACGCCAACUCAACCUGGAACAAAAAAAAAACGAGCGAAGGCUGAAGAAGAAUGUAGAAACCUGCGACAGUCCUUCGACAAGAUUUUUGCAGAAGAUCAACUGCGUUAUUUGCAAAAAGGGACAAUGAGGGGAUCUGCGUGGACUGACAAAACAAUUCAGGAGUCGUUAAAAGUGCGACUCGCCUGCGGAUCGAGAGGUUACGAGUACCUCCGCGACAAUGGAUGGCCACUGCCUGCAGAGAGAACGCUCCAAAAGAACAUCGAGAACAUCAAGUUUUCGCCAGGUACGUAUCACCCUUUUUGUACAGGAAACAAUCUCGGAGCAACAAUAGAUCAUUAAUGCAGUAAUUUUGUCUUUUUCAGGUAACCAGCAGAGAGCUAGCUGUGAGUGAUACACUACUGUGUACGACACACACGAAACGGAACAGUUAUCAUGAGCAUCUGGUUUGAUUCAGAUAAUUGUCUCUCUGCUGGUUACCUUUGUUGCCAGUUUAUCUAGAGAAUUGUUGAACCAUGGGUAAGAUUUUCACUAAGGUAAUUUCUGCGUUUAAACUUGACCUCAUUACCCAAAAGUGUACAGCGUCGGUGAGAACAGUCCGCCGUAUCGUUACAGGUAUUCUCGAAGACAUAUUUCCUGCACUUGCGGCAAAAGUUUCAACAUUCAAAUCAGAAGACCGGUAUGCUGUUGUCAUGCUUGACGAAAUGCAACUUACCCCAGGGCUUGACUACGAUUGUACUACAAAUUCUAUCAUCGGAUAUCCUACAGUAACAUCAUCGGACCCGAGUGCAGCAGCAGGAUUUGCUACACAUGCCCUUGUGUUUAUGCUUGGGGGAAUUACGUCCAGGUGGAAACAGACAGUGGCAUACCAUUUCUCUGCUGAUUCCUUUGACGCAAAGCAGGUAUUGGCCAUACUUUUCGACAUCAUCGCACGAUGUGAAGCCAUUGGUCUGUCUGUAGACUGUGUUA